rnacentral:rRNA from 1 species
GACGAACGCUGGCGGCGUGCCUAACACAUGCAAGUCUAACGAGAAAGGGGUAGCAAUAUCCUGAGUACAGUGGCGCACGGGUGAGUAACACGUAGGCAAUUUGCCUUCAGGACGGGGACAACCUCGAGAAAUCGGGGCUAAUACCCGAUAAUGCAGCGGCACCGCAUGGUGACAGUUGUUAAAGGCCCGCUAGGGCGCCCGGAGAUGAGCCUGCGUCCCAUUAGGUAGUUGGUGAGGUAACGGCCCACCAAGCCUACGAUGGGUAGCUGGUCUGAGAGGAUGAUCAGCCACACUGGAACUGAGACACGGUCCAGACUCCUACGGGAGGCAGCAGUGAGGAAUAUUGCGCAAUGGCCGAAAGGCUGACGCAGCGACGCCGCGUGAAGGAUGAAGUCCGUUAGGAUGUAAACUUCUUUUGCAGGGGAAGAAUGUGGCGCCUUGGGCGCCAUUGACGGUACCCUGCGAAUAAGGGUCGGCUAACUACGUGCC